CCUACGGGAGGCAGCAGUGAGGAAUAUUGGUCAAUAGACGAGAGUCUGAACCAGCCAAGUAGCGUGAAGGAUGACUGCCCUAUGGGUUGUAAACUUCUUUUAUAUGGGAAUAAAAUGUUCCACGUGUGGGAUUUUGUAUGUACCAUAUGAAUAAGGAUCGGCUAACUCCGUGCCAGCAGCCGCGGUAAUACGGAGGAUGCGAGCGUUAUCCGGAUUUAUUGGGUUUAAAGGGUGCGUAGGCGGUCCGGAAAGUCAGCGGUAAAAGCCCGGGGCUCAACCCCGGCGAGCCGUUGAAACUGUCGGACUAGAGACGGCGAGAAGUACGCGGAAUGCGCGGUGUAGCGGUGAAAUGCAUAGAUAUCGCGCAGAACUCCGAUUGCGAAGGCAGCGUACCGUGCCGCCACUGACGCUGAGGCACGAAAGCGCGGGGAUCGAACAGGAUUAGAUACCCCAGUAGUC
rnacentral:rRNA from 1 species